rnacentral:rRNA from 1 species
GACGAACGCUGGCGGCAGGCUUAACACAUGCAAGUCGAGCGGGGUGAUGGUGCUUGCACUAUCACUUAGCGGCGGACGGGUGAGUAGUGCUUAGGAAUCUGCCUAUUAGUGGGGGACAACAUCCUGAAAGGGAUGCUAAUACCGCAUACGUCCUCCGGGAGAAAGCGGGGGAUCACUUGUGACCUUGCGCUAAUAGAUGAGCCUAGGUCGGAUUAACUAGUUGGUGGGGUAAAGGCCUACCAAGGCGACGAUCUGUAGCGUGUCUGAGAGGAUGAUCCGCCACACUGGGACUGAGACACGGCCCAGACUCCUACGGGAGGCAGCAGUGGGGAAUAUUGGACAAUGGGGGGAACCCUGAUCCAGCCAUGCCGCGUGUGUGAAGAAGGCCUUAUGGUUGUAAAGCACUUUAAGCGAGGAGGAGGCUCUUUUGGUUAAUACCCAAGAUGAGUGGACGUUACUCGCAGAAUAAGCACCGGCUAACUCUGUGCCAGCAGCCGCUGUAA